CAAUGCAAGUCGAACGGUAUGGCCUUCGGGUACACGAGUGGCGAACGGGUGAGUAACACGUGGGUGAUCUGCCCUGCACUUUGGGAUAAGCCUGGGAAACUGGGUCUAAUACCGAAUAGGACUCCGGACUUCACGGUCUGGGGUGGAAAGCUUUUGCGGUGUGGGAUGGGCCCGCGGCCUAUCAGCUUGUUGGUGGGGUAAUGGCCUACCAAGGCGACGACGGGUAGCCGGCCUGAGAGGGUGUCCGGCCACACUGGGACUGAGAUACGGCCCAGACUCCUACGGGAGGCAGCAGUGGGGAAUAUUGCACAAUGGGCGCAAGCCUGAUGCAGCGACGCCGCGUGGGGGAUGACGGCCUUCGGGUUGUAAACCUCUUUCAGUAGGGACGAAGCGUGAGUGACGGUACCUACAGAAGAAGCACCGGCCAACUACGUGCCAGCAGCCGCGGUAAUACGUAGGGUGCGAGCGUUGUCCGGAAUUACUGGGCGUAAAGAGCUCGUAGGUGGUUUGUCGCGUUGUCCGUGAAAUCCCACAACUUAAUUGUGGGCGUGCGGGCGAUACGGGCAGACUAGAGUACUGCAGGGGAGACUGGAAUUCCUGGUGUAGCGGUGGAAUGCGCAGAUAUCAGGAGGAACACCGGUGGCGAAGGCGGGUCUCUGGGCAGUAACUGACGCUGAGGAGCGAAAGCGUGGGGAGCGAACAGGAUUAGAUACCCUGGUAGUCCACGCCGUAAACGGUGGGUACUAGGUGUGGGUUUCCUUCCUUGGGAUCCGUGCCGUAGCUAACGCAUUAAGUACCCCGCCUGGGGAGUACGGCCGCAAGGCUAAAACUCAAAGGAAUUGACGGGGGCCCGCACAAGCGGCGGAGCAUGUGGAUUAAUUCGAUGCAACGCGAAGAACCUUACCUGGGUUUGACAUGCACAGGACGCCGGCAGAGAUGUCGGUUCCCUUGUGGCCUGUGUGCAGGUGGUGCAUGGCUGUCGUCAGCUCGUGUCGUGAGAUGUUGGGUUAAGUCCCGCAACGAGCGCAACCCUUGUCUCAUGUUGCCAGCACGUUAUGGUGGGGACUCGUGAGAGACUGCCGGGGUCAACUCGGAGGAAGGUGGGGAUGACGUCAAGUCAUCAUGCCCCUUAUGUCCAGGGCUUCACACAUGCUACAAUGGCCGGUACAAAGGGCUGCGAUGCCGUGAGGUGGAGCGAAUCCUUUUAAAGCCGGUCUCAGUUCGGAUCGGGGUCUGCAACUCGACCCCGUGAAGUCGGAGUCGCUAGUAAUCGCAGAUCAGCAACGCUGCGGUGAAUACGUUCCCGGGCCUUGUACACACCGCCCGUCACGUCAUGAAAGUCGGUAACACCCGAAGCCGGUGGCCUAACCCGUAAGGGAGGGAGCCGUCGAAGGUGGGAUCGGCGAUUGGGACGAAGUCGUAACAAGGUA
rnacentral:rRNA from 1 species